GGCGGCAGGCCUAACACAUGCAAGUCGAGCGCGCCUUCGGGUGAGCGGCGGACGGGUUAGUAACGCGUGGGAACGUACCCUUUUCUACGGAAUAGCCUUUGGAAACGAAGAGUAAUACCGUAUACGCCCUUUGGGGGAAAGAUUUAUCGGAGAAGGAUCGGCCCGCGUUAGAUUAGAUAGUUGGUGGGGUAACGGCCUACCAAGUCUACGAUCUAUAGCUGGUUUUAGAGGAUGAUCAGCAACACUGGGACUGAGACACGGCCCAGACUCCUACGGGAGGCAGCAGUGGGGAAUCUUAGACAAUGGGCGCAAGCCUGAUCUAGCCAUGCCGCGUGAGUGAUGAAGGCCUUAGGGUCGUAAAGCUCUUUCGCCUGUGAUGAUAAUGACAGUAGCAGGUAAAGAAACCCCGGCUAACUCCGUGCCAGCAGCCGCGGUAAUACGGAGGGGGUUAGCGUUGUUCGGAAUUACUGGGCGUAAAGCGCACGUAGGCGGAUUGGAAAGUUGGGGGUGAAAUCCCGGGGCUCAACCCCGGAACUGCCUCCAAAACUAUCAGUCUAGAGUUCGAGAGAGGUGAGUGGAAUUCCAAGUGUAGAGGUGAAAUUCGUAGAUAUUUGGAGGAACACCAGUGGCGAAGGCGGCUCACUGGCUCGAUACUGACGCUGAGGUGCGAAAGUGUGGGGAGCAAACAGGAUUAGAUACCUUGGUAGUCCACACCGUAAACGAUGAAUGCCAGUCGUCGGGCAGUAUACUGUUCGGUGACACACCUAACGGAUUAAGCAUUCCGCCUGGGGAGUACGGUCGCAAGAUUAAAACUCAAAGGAAUUGACGGG
rnacentral:rRNA from 1 species